UGGUUUACAAAGAAAUGAUAUUAGUCUCAGUUUUUUCAAGCUUUUAUUAUUCUCUAGUUUUGUUUUUUUUGUGCUCAAAACUAUUUUACAAGCAGUUAAGAUGCGAUUAACAAAAAUUAUAUUGCUCGUCCUUUUCAGCGCUCUCAUCAGUUUAAAUAUGGUCCAAGCUUUGGAUGAUCAAGGAGCGAAACAAUAUGGUAACAUGGUAGGGCUUUCGGGUUAAAGCAACAUGAGACUCAUAAAUGCUUUGGCGAAACCUGUGUUGUUUCUAACGCUGUUAAUUGAUCUAAUACUGCAGUUCCCCAUAUUUAUAGCUGUAUUUUAAAUAGAUUGAGAAUUUUGAAAAUAAAAGAAUAACGAAAUGCAUAGAAA